UACAGAGGGGGCAAGCGUUGUUCGGAAUUACUGGGCGUAAAGGGCGCGUAGGCGGCCAACUAAGUCAGACGUGAAAUCCCCAGGCUCAACCUGGGAACUGCGUCUGAUACUGGAUGGCUCGAGUUCGGGAGAGGGAAGUGGAAUUCCAGGUGUAGCGGUGAAAUGCGUAGAUAUCUGGAGGAACACCGGUGGCGAAGGCGGCUUCCUGGACCGACACUGACGCUGAGGCGCGAAAGCCAGGGGAGCAAACGGG
rnacentral:rRNA from 1 species